GGAUUCCCCUAGUAACUGCGAGUGAAGCGGGAAAAGCUCAAAUUUAAAAUCUGGCGGCUUUGGUCGUCCGAGUUGUAUUCUAGAGAAGCGUUUUCCGCGCUGGACCGUGUACAAGUCUCUUGGAACAGAGCGUCAUAGAGGGUGAGAAUCCCGUCUUUGACACGGACUACCAGUGCUUUGUGAUGCGCUCUCAAAGAGUCGAGUUGUUUGGGAAUGCAGCUCAAAAUGGGUGGUAAAUUCCAUCUAAAGCUAAAUAUUGGCGAGAGACCGAUAGCGAACAAGUACCGUGAGGGAAAGAUGAAAAGCACUUUGGAAAGAGAGUUAAACAGUACGUGAAAUUGCUGAAAGGGAAACGCUUGAAGUCAGUCGCGUUGGUUAGAACUCAACCAGGCUUGCUUGGUGCAUUUUCUAUUCAACGGGCCAGCAUCAGUUUUGACUGUAGGAAAAAGAUCAGAGAAAUGUGGCACCUUCGGGUGUGUUAUAGUCUUUGGUUGCAUACUAUGGUUGGGACUGAGGAUCUCAGCACGCAUCUGUUGUGCUUAGGAUGCUGGCGUAAUGGCUUUAAACGACCCGUCUUGAAACACGGACCAAGGAGUCUAACAAACCUGCGAGUGUUUGGGUGGUAAACCCGAGCGCGUAAUGAAAGUGAAAGUUGGGAUCCCUGUCGUGGGGAGCACCGACGCCCGGACCAGACCUUCUGUGACGGAUCUGCGGUAGAGCAUGUUUGUUGGGACCCGAAAGAUGGUGAACUAUGCCUGAAUAGGGUGAAGCCAGAGGAAACUCUGGUGGAGGCUCGUAGCGAUUCUGACGUGCAAAUCGAUCGUCAAAUUUGGGUAUAGGGGCGAAAGACUAAUCGAACCAUCUAGUAGCUGGU
rnacentral:rRNA from 1 species